GGCCUGAUGGUCUAGUAGUAUGAUUCCUUGUUAGGGUUCUCCGGAACAGUUUCGAGGAGGUCCCGGGUUCAAUUCCCGGUCAGGCCC